GCAGGCCAUAGCACGGCCGUCCAGCUGUGGGGAUUGAUGUGCGGAUGGCGGCUGCCUGGAGAGGAAGGGGAAGCGCAAGGCGUGGGAGACCGGUGCUGAACAGAUGAUCAUGGGCUGCUGAUGGGCUGAGCUUGGUUCUAAUCGAUACACCGCUCGCAGAUUCUAUUUAAUCUAUGCCUAUGAGGUGUUUGAUGGAACUACAAUCAGGACCAUGAAGAUGAUGUUGUGUUGCUUUCUACAUGUGAGCAAGAUAUUCAAGAAAGGUUUGCUGCACACAAGGACAUGAUCCAUUGAUACAAUCCAGCAUCGAUGAUUACAAGAGAAUGUUAAGCUCUUGCAGCUGCAGUCCAAGGUAAGGGGAGAAGCAAGCAGGCAAUUCCUCCAUCCAUGAUUUGCUUCAGUCCAAUUACCUAGGUUAAAUUUAUGAUCUCCUUUUAUUUGUUCAUCUUCGGUUCUGGAAUCAGAUUAUCACUCCACCCACUUCUUGAAGGGUGUUGGCAUGCAAGGACAGGGGUGACCAACAAGGGAAAGCAACUCAGCCAUCAAUGGCCAUGGUGCAUCUCUCUUCUCAAUUUCUAGAGAGAAACGUGAGGACGCCCAACCGUGGAGAAACACCACAACUCCAUGCUGAAGUGUCGCUCGGGUGCCUUUAUGAUGAAAUAUGUUUC